rnacentral:rRNA from 1 species
UACGUAGGGUCCGAGCGUUGUCCGGAAUUAUUGGGCGUAAAGGGCUCGUAGGCGGUCUGUCGCGUCGGAUGUGAAAAUCCAGGGCUCAACCCUGGACCUGCAUUCGAUACGGGCAGACUAGAGUUCGGCAGGGGAGACUGGAAUUCCUGGUGUAGCGGUGAAAUGCGCAGAUAUCAGGAGGAACACCGGUGGCGAAGGCGGGUCUCUGGGCCGAUACUGACGCUGAGGAGCGAAAGCGUGGGGAGCAAACAGG